AGCAGAUGCCCUUAAAUUGGCUAAGGUACCUCUUAAAUACAGGAAGCCCAACUGGGGCCCCCAGACUCGAAAGCAGGGCCGUGUGGAGCUGAAGCAGACAGUCCGCAUGUCUCUGAUUCCUGCAAAGCCGGCCGGGCUCACCGACGCCCGGCUCACCGACUCCCGGCUCACCGACGCCCGGCUCACCGAGCAGGCCACCACAGGAUCAGGAGGAGAGGGAAGCCCUGCACGCUCCCAGCCCAUCUCCGUGUCGAACUGCACCCUGAAGCCAGGUGUUGGCUACUGGCUGUGUUCCUGGGAUGCUUGGCUUAAAACCAAGUGGGGUAGGCACUGGUGGGAGGUCUGCACUGUCCUUGGGGCUUACGCUGUACAACACUGGAAGGUGAGAAUCAGGCAGAACAAAGUUAAUCAGACUUUCCAAGCUGUUUCAGUGGGUAAGAUGCAGACCCAAUGCUACUAGUAGCAUCAGCUUGGAGGAGGGUUCUGGAGGAACCCUUCAUCACACCUGACAGAACUGUCUAUCCGACUGGGACAGUGGGCUCUCAUUAGAUGAUGUCCUGUCUGGUAAAAAACAAUAAAAACUCUUUUACUGCAUUUCUAUUAUGUGCCAGGCACUGCCCUUAAGUAUAUUCUUCCAUCCAUCCUCAUGCCAACCCGAGGCGGUAAGAAAUAUGAUACCUAAUUUUUGGGUGAAGAAAUUGAGGCUCACACACUCCAGUGGCAGAGCUGGCAUUUGGUCCCAGGUGUGUCUGGCUGCGAAGUUCAUGGCUUUUUCGAUGCGUCACCCUGCAGUGAGACGAGAGCGGAGAUCUUCCAUUAGGUCUCCUCAACAUGUGUUUUCCACGCCAAUAAAUUUGACAAACUUUGGUGCAAACUUUUAUAAGUAGUGGAAACCCUCAGAGUUUUAACUGGGCACACGGACCAGUGAUGCAUCUCCCAGCCACUUUUGCUGUUGGAUAUGACCAUGUGACCAAGUUUGGGCCAGUGAGAUGAGAGAGGAAGUGAUGCUGCUUAGAGAAGUAGGGGAUUGUUCGUGACUGCCCCGCCAGCCCAUUGGCCAGCUGGGAAAUCACAAUUGGAGCAGUUGCCUGAAAACCGGAGUGGAAGCCAUGUGUUGAAAGUGGCAGAGCUGUCGCGUAGCCCAGGCUGUUUGCCUUUGACACCUUAUGUUAGAGAGAAAUAAAAUUAUUUCAGCCAUCGUAGUUUUAGGUCUUCAAACGGAUCAUUAGCAUAAGAGAAUUUCCCAUGCUUCCUCUCUCUCUCCGAACAUUAAAACACUGGCUGGCUGUCUUCCCCAUGUCUGAGCCUGUGCAUGGGCUUCAGUUUCCACAUCCCAGUUAUUCACUAGAUGCGAUCUUGAAGGAGCAGAUUAAGGGGGUUGCAGAAGCAAUUUGGGGCAUGACGCUGACCAGCUGUUGACAACCGGUACUGCUCGACUCUCAUUUCAAAGAUAAAAACAGAUAUGCCUCCUCAUUUUUCUCUUAAAUGAUCGCUGAGCAGAAAUUGCAUGCAUCUAGGACACAACAGGAAUAAACAAUAAAUGGGUUUUCUUCAUUUGAUCCAGAGAACACAAGAAGGCAGAAGAAAACCUGCAAAGAGCAAACACAAAUGAUUGGGGAGUGCGUGUGGCUGGGCAGCAGCAGCCAGUACUGGAG
ensembl:lncRNA